GACGAACCGUGCGAACGUUGUUCGGAUUCAUUGGGCGUAAAGCGCACGUAGGCGGCUUUCUAAGUCGGGGGUGAAAUCCUGGAGCUCAACUCCAGAACUGCCUUCGAUACUGGAGAGCUCGAGUCCGGGAGAGGUGAGUGGAACUGCGAGUGUAGAGGUGAAAUUCGUAGAUAUUCGCAAGAACACCAGUGGCGAAGGCGGCUCACUGGCCCGGUACUGACGCUGAGGUGCGAAAGCGUGGGGAGCAAACAGG
rnacentral:rRNA from 1 species